AUGUAGUGCUUCUUGGGACUGAAGAAAUUCUAAUUGUUGUUUAAGUUCCAAGGUGUGCUACAAUAU
rnacentral:miRNA from 1 species